rnacentral:rRNA from 1 species
AUUGAACGCUGGCGGCAGGCCUAACACAUGCAAGUCGAGCGAGCGGCGGACGGGUGAGUAAUGUAUGGGGAUCUGCCCGAUAGCGGGGGAUAACUACUUGAAACGAUGGCUAAUACCGCAUACUAUCGUAUUAACCCAUAUGGGAUUAGCUAGUAGGGGGGGUAAAGGCUCACCUAGGCGACGAUCGCUAGCUGGUCUGAGAGGAUUAUCAGCCACACUGGGACUGAGACACGUCCCCGACGCCUACGGGAGGCAGCAGGGGGGAAUAUUGCACAAUGGGCGCAAGCCUGAUGCAGCCAUGCCGAGGGUAUGAAGAAGGCCUUCGGGUUGUAAAGUACUUUCAGCGGGGAGGCGUUACCCGCAGAAGAAGCACCGGCUAACUCCGUGCCAGCAGCCGCGGUAAUAC